rnacentral:rRNA from 1 species
AGAAUCAACGCUGGCGGCGUGCCUAACACAUGCAAGUCGCACGAGAAAGGGGCUUCGGCCCUGAGUAAAGCGGCGCACGGGUGAGUAACACGUGAAUAAUCUACCUCCGAGUGGGGAAUAACUGAGAGAAAUCUUGGCUAAUACCGCAUAAUACCCACGGGUCAAAGCAGCAAUGCGCUUGGAGAGGAGUUCGCGGCAGAUUAGCUAGUUGGCGGGGUAAUGGCCCACCAAGGCGAUGAUCUGUA